ensembl:lncRNA
UUGUGAUUCUAUGAUUCUAAAUAUGAAAUUAUAAAAUUUAACGUGAAUAAACUCAGUGGCACUACUGAGACAAGCCUGGCUCCUUUACCUUCAUUUCACCUCAUGAGGUUUUUACUUAUACAUACUGACAAGUACCACAUCGGCCUUCCCUUCCUCAGGCUGAACAGUCCCUAAUCCCUCAGCCUCUCCGUGUACAAAAGAUGCUCCUGUUCCUUAGACGUCUUUGUGGCCCUAUGCUGUUUUCUAACUCCAGUAGGCUAUUACACUGAUACAUUCAUUCAGGAAAUCCUAAUGACCUGCACAGUAAUGCCGUGACUUUCCUAAAUGUAAAAUGUUUGCAACAAUUAUGUAUCUGUUUUGCUGAAUUAUCACCUUUCUUAGGAUAUUCAUAACAUUGUUGCAUCAUUUUAUGUCUGUCACAGUACUCUACACUAAAACAGCUAUCUUGACUUAAAUACGUUAUUAGACAGAUCCACACACUACUUGUCUACAUCUGUGCCAAUUUUCUCAAAAGUACUUCCACUGAAGUCAGAGACAGAUGAUUAAACUACAGAAAAUAAGACAUAAGUAUCCUCAACUAUCACACACUGGUAAUUCAAGAUUAAAUGUGUAGGACUGAUGUACACCCACAGGUCAGCAUUACUCAACUCAGUACAAAUGAUUUGAUAAUUACAGUUCAUUCAGAAAGCAUUCAGAUGUAAAUAUGCACUUCUGUGGUGAGUUUACAACUCAGUAGCAAUAUUGGCAUGAGAAGGAAAUGCUCAAGCAGUGGAAGCAGGGGUGUGUGACCUGGGAAGAAUACAGGUAUGCUGUCCAGACAUGCACAGAUAGGAUCACAAAAGCCAAGGCACAGAUGGAGCUGAACUUGGUGAGAGUGUACUCCCUCUGAUAAAUGAGAGGGGAGAACUAACUUCAACAGGCAUGGAGAAGGCUGAGGUCCUCAGCAUUUUCUUUGCAUCAGUCUUCACUGCCACUCAAGCUUCCCACAUCUCUCACAUCCCUGAACCUUCAGGCAGGGCUCUGAGGAGUGAAACCCCUCUCACUGUAAGAGAAGAUCAAGUCCAAGACUGCCGCAUGAGACUGAAUGUGUACAAGUCUAUGGGGCUGGACAGCAUGACAUCCUAGGGUUCUGAAGGAACUGACUGAGGUGGUUGUAAAGUCACUCUCCAUCAUAAAGUCCCCCCUGUAAAAUAAAUUACAGAAGAAUCUCAAUUAGUUGAAGGUCUCUUUGGACACCUAAAACCUUUGAUAAUUAGCACUACUUCAGUAGAGCUGGUUGGUUGCACUAGUGUUGCAUAUAUCCAUGCAGUUGUAUAGGUGCACACCAUGCACAUAGUCACACACUAAAACACUCUGCUUCCACAAGUAAGAGACUAUUCUGGCAGAAGAGUGGGGACAGCUUGAUUUCACAGGAAGUAUAUUUGAUACAGUUGGGAUUUGAAGCUUAUUCUUUCUGAGAUGUCCUGGCAGAAGACCACAGACCUAUACGACUUGGGUUUGGGACUGAGACACCUUGUAUUCCAAGGGUGUCCAUAAAUAAGAAUGCCCUGGGGAAGGUCUGCUCUAUCUUUUUCAGCUGUUUAUCCACCCAGAGUGCAGCCCAUCUCUGUUAGUACACAGAAAGACAACUGUUUUGUAGAUAUAUCAAGAAAUACAGUUCUCCCAUUUGGGGCUGGAAUCUUGCAGGGCACUGGAUGAUCAAACUUCCACAUCCCUCAACAAGCUCAUUCAUGGACCAGCCCAGCACAAAUGACGGCAAAUCAGUUCAUGAACAGUUCACUAAACACAGUCCUGUGAACACCGAAAAAGAAGCAGCCGUGAUUUCCAGUUUGACAAUGAAAAUUAAGAAUAGGUUUCAGGAUUAAAAUAAUAAUAAUAAUUUAAAAAAAAACAUUUUUUUGCUUUCUUUAUGACUCCAUUUUCAGUUGACAUAAAUAAAUUACUUGCAAAUUU